UGAAGCAGAAUUCACCAA
rnacentral:snRNA from 1 species